CGACGGUGCCAAGUAUGGUCACAGACUGUCCAGGAGCUCACUGAUGCCCAUACAGAGGUCUGGAAAGAGCUCCCCAAGGACAUCAUCUGCAGAGUCAUCAGGAGCAUGCCCAGACGUUGUUGGGUGUGCAUACAGGCACGCAUGGGCCAUACACACUACUGAGUCACAUUAGUGUGAUUUUCAGUGUGAUUUUGUAUCCAGCCCUCAAUGGGUUGGUUUCCAUUGUCCAGUGUUACAUCAUUUUGUUCUCAACAAAUCAUACAUUAUACAUCACCAAUUUUCAUAGUGAAUAAUUCAUUCAUCAAGAUCUGAAGUGUGUUUCAAGUGUUCCUGUAUUUUAGUAGUUGAAGCAGAUUUUGAAGUAGUUUUUAGCAGUGUACAUUUCCGCAAAUCCACAGAUAAGUUCAGAUCAUUGUUUGGCUUAAAAUACCUGUUUUGGUCGCCAAGAUCACUAAUGCCGAUGGUCUAACGUCCUAUGAAAAAUAUAUAGUUUUGGUUAUCACAAAAGUGGCUGGAAAGGUCCCCAUGUCCUCAACACGAUCCAGUGGUGUGACUUGAACUGCGGUCAGCCAUUUGGCACCUUUGUGGAUUGUAACACCACCACCAUCCCCGCCACCUCCUGAUGCGAAAAGUGGCUAAUAAUCAUGUAACAUGAACAUGACAUGCAACAUUUGGUACAAAUGUCAACCAUGGAUGUAUCUGUGGUUUGCAGAAAGGUUAACUAUUAUAUACUGGAGAAUGGGCUGUUCAUGUUACAGAAUGUACAAAAAGUAGUUCCUUAGUUCUCUCUCAAACAACAUCGAGUUGGCAAAAAUGCUCCACAGAAAACACUGGUAAUUUUAGAUACUGAAGAAUUGUAGAGUGGUGACUAAUAAUUUACAAUGGUGCAGAUACAAGCUGUAGUUAGAAAAACAGCGAGGCUCUGACAGCAGUUGGUUUGAGCAGCUGAUGUGAAUAUCAAGCAGGUAAAGAAGCCUCUCCACACCACUACACAUACGGGCCAGUGCUGCCUUUAAGUGAAAAGGAAGGGAGCACCGCCCCAAGUGGAAAUAUUGCAAUUAGGAAUUCAUUGCACAUGAUCGAACCAUGAACUAUGAUAGCUGAGUUGUGGAAAUGUGGAUUGGCUAGACAGGACUGAAGCUUUGCCAACAACUGCAGUCAAAAUAAUUAUGCUGCUGAUAUUUAUUAUGUUGGUGGUGUAUCUUCAAGAGACAGAUGCAAGAUUUUGAGAAGGGGAGCUCUUGAAGGCUUAGUGUGAGGAGAAAGUCUGAAACUUCCUCUGCGUCACACAAAUCAAAGCUGCAUUCUCUAGGUGGUGUAGUAAUAAUGAGGUGAGAGAGUUCUUUCAUACACUGCUGGGUAACAAGAAUUGGUAAUUAUAGCUUUUCUCAGACAGACAGUGUCAUACACAGUCCAGUGGCCGGUGCUGCAGCUGGAUGGGUGGCGGCUGCUAAACGUGGACAGAUUAAUGUGCAUCACAGCAGGAGUCUGUCUGCUGUGGUGUGAUUGUUGGAUUUGGAGCAGCGGUGUGAUUGGAUCAGAGGUGGCCAGAGGACUGGACUGAAAGAUGGAGAAUUCAUCAGGCAAAGGGAUCGAACAUUUUCAGAGGCCACUGAGUGCCUGAGCUGUUCCAGAGACCAUCAUCAUUUAAAUGGAGAACAUGGUUUCAAGCCCCAGCAGGUUAGCAAGUGGCCCUCCUGCUGAAGUGUCCUGGAGCAAGACACUGAAUCUGCUCUUCUGUAGCCGACACUGACCUCUGAUCUCCCUGUCGAGGGAGUGUGGAAGGCAAAAGGAUUUCCCUUUAGGGAGGAACAUUAACAUUAUUAUUGGAUGCUGUACCAGAGGUGACUGAAUGGGAAUAUUCCCUCAACAGUGGGCAGGUUGAACAAUAACAUGAAGAAAACAGUGAAAACAAAGAGGCAUUUUCUCUGCUGGAUCAAGUAGUCCCUGUGUGCCUUUAAAAGUAAUAAAGUCUCAGGUUGCAGCUGACAGCAAACUUGAACAACAAUACCUACAGCCACAUCAAGGAGGAACUCUUGAGGGAGAGAAAUUCCCCAGACUCCCUUGUAAAAUUGCUCAAUUUGAUAAUUGAGUAAGUUGUUGAGUUGAGAACAAUGUUUAUGUUAUCAUAGCCUCCUGGUAAAUUCAGUACGUUAUACAUUAAGGUCUUUCUUUAUGUAAGACAUAUUGUGUCCCAGUGAUGUACAUGUUUAGCUGUGUAGGCUAUAGACCGGGGAGGUGAGAUUUGAUCUCAAGUAAUCACUUGAUGACAGAACUGAUGACCUGUCCCCUUGUGACGCUCCCCUUCUCGUAACGUGGAUCAGCCCGCACACUUGAUUGAUAAACCAGAGAAUUGGAGAGAAAUUUUAGGCUUCAUGGAGAAAGACAGUAUAACAUCUUUGGAACACUUUUUCAUCAAUUGAUGGUUUUUAUGAAGUCUCAUUUACAGAGGCGCAACCUCAGCAUGUCUUACACUGAACACUCACGGUGAGGAAUUUUGACUAUGACAAGAAGUA